GCUGGCGGCAGGCCUAACACAUGCAAGUCGAACGGUAACAGGAAGAAGCUUGCUUCUUUGCUGACGAGUGGCGGACGGGUGAGUAAUGUCUGGGAAACUGCCUGAUGGAGGGGGAUAACUACUGGAAACGGUAGCUAAUACCGCAUAACGUCGCAAGACCAAAGAGGGGGACCUUCGGGCCUCUUGCCAUCGGAUGUGCCCAGAUGGGAUUAGCUAGUAGGUGGGGUAACGGCUCACCUAGGCGACGAUCCCUAGCUGGUCUGAGAGGAUGACCAGCCACACUGGAACUGAGACACGGUC
rnacentral:rRNA from 1 species